AACCUCCGCAAUGUGAGAAAUCGCGACGGGGGGAUCCCAAGUGCCAUUCUUAACGGGAUGGCUUUUCAUUAGUGUAAAGAGCUUUUGGAAUAAGAGCUGGGCAAGACCGGUGCCAGCCGCCGCGGUAACACCGGCAGCUCUAGUGGUAGCAAUUUUUAUUGGGCCUAAAGCGUCCGUAGCCGGUUUAAUAAGUCUCUGGUGAAAUCCUGCAGCUUAACUGUGGGAAUUGCUGGAGAUACUAUUAGACUUGAGACCGGGAGAGGUUAGAGGUACUCCCAGGGUAGAGGUGAAAUUCUGUAAUCCUGGGAGGACCGCCUGUUGCGAAGGCGUCUAACUGGAACGGUUCUGACGGUGAGGGACGAAAGUUAGGGGCGCGAACCGGAUUAGAUACCCGGGUAGUCCUAACUGUAAACGAUGCGGACUUGGUGUUGGGGUGGCUUUGAGCUGCUUCAGUGCCGAAGGGAAGCUGUUAAGUCCGCCGCCUGGGAAGUACGGUCGCAAGACUGAAACUUAAAGGAAUU
rnacentral:rRNA from 1 species